rfam:Vitis vinifera, whole genome shotgun sequence of line PN40024, unoriented chromosome 1, chr1
GUUGCUUCUUACUGGUGAACUCCCUCUAGAUCAUAAUGAGGGAUGUUCAUGUUUCCGAAGCAUACACCAAUCAUCUUUGCCAGUAUUAAACAGCGCCUGGGUGCUUAUCCUUAUUCACCACCGCGCUACCUGUCUCCUGGUACAUUU